UGGGGAAUAUUGGACAAUGGGGGGAACCCUGAUCCAGCCAUGCCGCGUGUGUGAAGAAGGCCUUAUGGUUGUAAAGCACUUUAAGCGAGGAGGAGGGUACUGGUAUUAAUACUACCAGGUACUGGACGUUACUCGCAGAAUAAGCACCGGCUAACUCUGUGCCAGCAGCCGCGGUAAUACAGAGGGUGCGAGCGUUAAUCGGAAUUACUGGGCGUAAAGCGCGCGUAGGUGGUUCGUUAAGUUGAAUGUGAAAGCCCCGGGCUCAACCUGGGAGCUACAUCCAAAGCUGGCGAGCUAGAGUAGGGCAGAGGGUGGUGGAAGUUCCUGUGUAGCGGUGAAAUGCGUAGAUAUAGGAAGGAACACCAGUGGCGAAGGCGACCACCUAGGCUCAUACUGACACUGAGGUGCGAAAGCGUGGGGAGCAAACAGG
rnacentral:rRNA from 1 species